CGCGCGACAGCAGCGAGGCCAGGAGCGGGGCCAGCGCCCGGCCGAAGCCGCGGGAGGCUCCGGUCAGCACGCACACAGCAAGCCCCAGGCCGCCCUCCAUGCUACCGUCCUCCGCCGGCGGCGCUGGGCCCCGAGACCAGACUCAUCAGCUCCUUGCUGUCACCAGUACCCUCUGCCUCUUUGAGAUUUCUGAUUUCUGUUCCUAAAAGUGUAUUCCUCAGGAUUCUGCCCCUGCUCAUGCUACAGUCUCCCUGGUAGCGGUUCAGUCCAUUCUCAGCUUCGAGUUUAUGCAGUCAUCUGUCUGUACCUCCAGAUGAGAAGAUUCUGGAGAUGUGAUUCAUUUGGGGAUAUAUUUUGAAGAAGAAGGCAAAAGGAUUUGCUGCUGAAGACAUGGAGAUGGAGCAUACAAAAAAGAGGAUAAUCGAUGAUGACCCUAUGGUUUGGGGCCUUUGCAACUGGAAGGAUAAAAAUUGCCAUUUUCUGAGCCUGAGAACCACUGGCCAUGGAGGCAGGAGGAAAGUCAUGAAAGUAUGAUGUCUUGGAAGUAUAAUACAAUUUUAAAAGUACUUCAAGAAGAAAUGUGUUAUCAAAAUUUCACAAACUCCUGAUCACUGUAGCAACACAACAACUCAUGUGAUUUGCAGAGAAAAGAGUUUACUGGCUGGAACCUGCUGUAGACAUAAUCAACUCGGUUGUCUUGUGAGGGCAAUAUUCCUUUCACUGAAACUUGUAAAGAUCCUCCUGUCAGCUUAUUCUAAUGACAAUUGUGAAACUGAUGAGCAUGCAGUAAAACCUGAGAUGCAGAUGUUGUGAUGGUUAAUAUUAAGCAUCAACUUGAUUGGAUCAAAGGAUGCAAAGUGUUGUUCUUGGAUGUGUCUGUGAGGGUAUUGCCAAAGGAGAUUAACAUGUGAGUCAGCAGAUUGGGAGAGGCAUACCCACCCUCAAUCUGGGUGGGUACCAUCUAAUCAACUGCCCGUGCAGCUAGAAUACAGCAGGCAGAAGAAGUUGGAAAGAGCAGAUUUGCUGAGUCUUCUUGUCUUCAUCUUUCUCCUGUGCUGCGUGCUUCCUGCCCUCAAACAUCAGAUUCCCAAGUUGUUUGUUGUUCAGCUUUUGGACCCUUGGACUUACACUAGUGAUUUACUAGGGGCUCUCGGGUCUUUGGCCACAGACUGAAGGCUGCACUGUCCACUUCCCUACCUUUGAGGUUUUGGGACUCAGAUGGGCUUCCUCAGCUUGCAGAUGGCCUAUUGUGGGACUUCACUUUGUGAUCAUAUGAGUCAAUUAUCCUAAUAAACUCCCCUUUGUAUAUACAUAUAUCCUACUAGUUCUGUCCCUUUAGAGAACUCUGACUAAUACAGAUGUAAAUUCAGAAUUUAAAUUAUAUAAUUCCAUCAUAUCCUAUUUCAAGAUUUAGGAUUUAAAGUCAAAUAUUUUCUCAAGCGAUUGUUUGAAGCAGCAAGUACAUGGGAAAAAUAUUGUAAAUAAAAUUAUAUUUGAGGACAAUUAUUUUAAAUCUGAUUUUGAAAAUAUUAGAGGCCAGGCAUAGUGGCUCAUGUCUGUUAUUCCAACAAGAUUACAGGAGUGAGCCACCAUGCCUGGCCUCUGAAUAGUUUGGGAGGCUGAGCCAGGAGGAUCAUUUGAGGACAAGAGUUUGAAACCAGUGUCAGCAACAAAGUAAGCCUCUAUCUCUACAAAAAAUAAAAAAUUCAGCCAGCUAUGGUGGCUCAUAUGUAGUCCAACUACUCAGAUGGCUGAAGCAGGAGGGUUGCUUGAGUCCAGGAGUUUGAGGUUACUGUGAGCUCUGACUGGGCCACUGCCACACUCCAGCUUGGGUGACACAGUGUGACCCUAUCUCAAAAAAGAAAAUAGUCAUACAGCAUUUUCUUUCAGCAGUGCACUAAGCUUCAGUUUGUAAAACUGCCAUAAUGAAAAUGUACUGUUACUGUCAACUUAAUAUUUAAUCAAGAAUGAAAGAAGAUGUUUUUACCUUGAUCAGGUACUAUUAAAGAGAAAGAAAAUUUCAAUAACAUGGUAGCAACAUCACCAUAAGCAGUGUCUAAAUGGCAGAGAAAGCCAAAAAAAUAUUUUGCUCUGGUACCCACCUCCGACGAAAAUGAGCAUCUAUUUAGAAUUACAGAUAUUUAGUAUAGUGACCAUAGGAGCAAACUGACAGUGCUGCUGAAUUACUGUAAUGGCAAAUUGUUAAAAUCUGACGAUUAACACUGUAAUAAUACAAUUCAAAAAAUUGUAUAUUAAUAUCCAAGUGUUCAUGGCAGCAUUAUUCACAAUAGCCCCAAAUUGGAAACAGUGUGAAAGUCCAUCAGCUGGUAAAUGGAUAAAUAAAAUUGCUGUAUCCAUACAACCCUUGAAAAUAAAAAGGAACAAAGUCCCGAUACAUGCCAAAAUGUAGGUGAAUCUCAUGAAAGAAGCCAGACAAUGCAUAACUACGUAUUGUAUAAUUCCACUUAUAUGAAAUUUCUAGAAAGGGUAAAACUAUGGAGUCAGAAGGAAAAUCAGUGGUUAUCUCAGACUAGGGGUAGAAGAGCGAUGAGCUGCAAAUAAGCAUGAGAUAGCUUUUUAGAGUGAUAGGAGGGUUCUAAAACUAGAUUACAACUGUCAGAGUUAAGCAGUACAGCUCUUAAUUUAGGUUUUUGAUCCAUUAUGAAUUCAUUUUCUGUUUUGCCUAAACAAGACUAUUUUCUCACAGUUUUGGAGACUAGAAGUCCAAGAUCAAGGUGGUGUUGGGGCUGGUGUCUGGUGAGGGCUCUCUUCCUGGCAGGAAAUGGCCACCUUCUCAUUGCGUUCUCACAUGGCCUUUCCUCUGCGUGCAUGGGCAGACAGAGAACACUCUCUGCUGUCUCUGCCUCAUUGCAAACAAGAGGAUCAUCAGAAGAGUAAGUGUCCCUCUCUCUCUCAUGGGGGGGCCACCUCUUCCUUCAAGGCUGUUAGAGCCACAACCUCACCAACCCAUGUGACAAGGGGGCUGAUCUUGACCUCCUGGGCUAAAGCAAUUCUCCCAUCUCAGCCUCCCAAAGUGCUGGGACAAACAUGAGCCACUGUGCUCUGCCAGAUGGCUAUUAAAAAAAAAAAGAAAAUGACAAGUGUUUUGAGGAUGUGGAGCAAUUAGAUCUCUUGUGUACUGUUAGUGGGAAUGUAAAAUGGUAGAUAUUUUACAUCCUCCUUUCAACUUAGGUGAUUUUUAUUUCAUUUUCUUGCCUAAUUCUUUGACUGGGACUUCCAGUACUAUGUUGAAUAGAAGUGAUGAAACUUGGCAUCCUUAUUUUGUUCCUGAUCUCGGAGGAAAAGUGUUUAGUCUUUCACCAUUGAUUAUGAUAUUUUCUAUGGGUUUUUCAUAUGUGGCUAUUAUUACAUUGAGGUAAUAAUCCUUCUAUUUCCAGUUUAAUGUGUAUUUUUUAAUCAUAAAAGGGUGUUGAAUUUUGCCAAAUGCUUUUUCUUAUCAAUUGAGAAGAUCAAGUGGUUUUUCUCCCCACAAAACGUGUUAAUGUGGUAUAUUAUAAUAAUGGAUUUUCAAAGGUUGAACCAUCCUUUCAUUCCAGGAAUAAAUCUCACUGGGCUAUGA